AAACUGCUGAAAAGCUGAAUCGCGACGCGGAAGUAAACAAAUAUGUCAAAAUAUUGGAGGCAAUUUCUCUUUAUUAGCGUAAAGACCUGAAACAAAUUAUAUUGAAUGUAAGAUGCUUCUGUGAUUACAGACUGUCUUCUAAGUUGACUGCGGAAAGAGCAGAACUAUUAUCAACAUGAUGUCGUGUUCAGUUACUGCACAUUGCAAAGUGAAUGUUCUCUGUGACUGUUACUGCAAUGAUUCACUUGAGAUGAUAUUUCCCACCACCAAUUUAUGGUUAUGAGUGGAAGUUGUCAGCUACUUGCAGAGAGAACUUAGUCCAUUAAGCACUAGACACAUUGGAUACAGCCAUUAAACAAAUGACUGAUAGAUGUAUGAAAAACAGACAAAAUUAAGUUAUGUCACUUUGAAUUGCACACAAUAGGUUUAAAUGAUGAUUAAAUUGUAAUUUUACUCCAAUUCAUGUGUGAAAGAUGUCAGAUUCUUGCGGAAAAUAAGUCAGAACUGGUACAGAACACUUAAAUAUAACAAUACCUUUGUAAUUGUCCAGGUAUCUUAAAGUUCCUGAAUAGCAUUUCUUUUAACAUGACAUGAAUUUUAAAGAAUAUACCAAAGAUUAAAUUAUGUCAACAUUUUGAGUUUUACUGUACACUUAAUAUUUGAACACAUCCUUUGAAUAUCUCUUCAUUCGAGAUACUUAACAGAUAAAAGAAGAAUAUACAAGAAUAUGUACACUGCAACUGAUAUAAUCUUUCUUUUUUCAGAGUUUCUUACAGAUUCAAAGAGUGGAUAAAGCAGAACCUUCAAAACAAAUCAUUCUAUUGACUGUAAAAUAUCAAAAAUAAAGAGUUAUUUUUCUGUAACUUGUUGAUAUUUUUACCUAAAUUUCAUUUACUAUCCACUAAACUUUGUUAGGCCAUACAAGAUAAUUCAGUAUGUACCAUUUCUGUUAGUUUCUGAGCUUCCAUUUUAUAUUACAUUAACUGUGACUUU
rnacentral:lncRNA from 1 species